ensembl:snoRNA
AAGACUAUACUUUCAGGGAUCAUUUCUAUAGUUCCUUACUAGAGAAGUUUCUCUGACUGUGUAGAGCACUGGAAACCACGAGGAGGAGGCACAGCGUUCUCUCCUGAGCGUGAAGCUGGCGCGGGCAUCGCGCGUUGUGACUGCCCGCUGCCAUUGAUGAUCGUUCCCCUCUCCCUGGAGAGGUGGAGGGAGAGAGCGCAGUCUGAGUGGCU